rnacentral:rRNA from 1 species
UAGGGGAGGCAGCAGUGGGGAAUAUUGCACAAUGGGCGCAAGCCUGAUGCAGCCAUGCCGCGUGUAUGAAGAAGGCCUUCGGGUUGUAAAGUACUUUCAGCGGGGAGGAAGGUGUUGUGGUUAAUAACCUCAGCAAUUGACGUUACCCGCAGAAGAAGCACCGGCUAACUCCGUGCCAGCAGCCGCGGUAAU